ACGCCCCGACUAAGGGGUAGAAAUACAGUUAAAUGAU
rnacentral:guide_RNA from 1 species